UACGUAGGGUGCAAGCGUUAUCCGGAAUUAUUGGGCGUAAAGAGCUCGUAGGCGGCUUGUCGCGUCGACAUGUGAAAACCUGUGGCUCAACCAUGUGGUCUCGCAAGUCGAUACGGGCAGGCUAGAAUUCGGUAGGGGAGACUGGAAUUCCUGGUGUAGCGGUAGAAAUGCGCAGAUAUCAGGAGGAACACCGGUGGCGAAGGCGGCAUCCUGGACCGACACUGACGCUGAGGAGCGAAAGCCAGGGGAGCAAACGGG
rnacentral:rRNA from 1 species